GUGGGGUGGGAGAGCCCAUUGAGUCCCUCCCACUCCAUUUACAUGUUUCAGAAAGCCUUCUCACUUGCUGUUUCUACUCUCUCCAUCUUCAUUUUUUUUUUCCUUAGCACGUUUUCUCUACUACUGGAGGAAAAUAUUAACAGACAUUGUACAUGCUCAUAACAAACUAAAGAUACACAAUUAGGAUACUACUAUAGACCAUUCCUUAGUGACUCUUUCUCACUUGCCAACACUUUAUCCUCCUGGCUCUAGAUGCCCAGAUAACCACACUAUAAAUUCUCCCAACUGAGGCACAUUUAUGUUGCUUCCAGAUUUUCUCCACCAUAACCCAGCAACACCAGAAUAAACUUCUACACUUCCAUGCUGGUGCUUUUCAUUCUAACCAGGUUUGGUUUCAAAGUGAUAGUGCCCAAUUAACUGCAAAACAUUUGCAAGUCAUGCUUCUUCCACCUGUGUUAAAACAAUGACCUGGUCCUCCUGCCUGCCCAUCAGCAUUGGAUGUUGUCACUGUUGGAUAUUUUUGCUGUGGAUAAAAGACAGAAGAAUCUGUGCUGCUGCCUCCCACAGCAUUUCCCUGCCCACCAGCGAGUGAAUGCUCUGGGUCUCACUACGUUGCCCAUGCUGGUCUCAAACUCCUGGACUCAAGCAAUCCUCCCACCUUCACCUCCUAAAGUGUUUGGAUUGCAGAACUCUUGGUGGCAUUUCUCAAUCCUAAGUCUCUGCAACCAGAGAGACCCCUGACCCUGUCCACCGUUCAGAAUCAUCACACCGAAAAAGACCAGAGACGAAUUGUGAUGAGCAUGGAAAAGGGUGGAGAAAUGCUGCUUCCCACGCUCACCUUGGAUGCGAACAUCUGUUCAUAAACCCCACCACCCUCCUCCAGGGUGAAGACAGCCAAGCCACUCUUUGGCCCAGACCUCGUCCUGGGGCCUCCUUGCUCUCUGCCGAUACACAGCCCCUUCACCCCCACCUCCAACACAGCAUAUCGUCCAUUCAAUCAAAAAACACCUACUCUGGCUUCCGUGCUAGGCACUGGAGCAACACUGGAAAAUGAGACAGAAUUUGCUCAUUCUCUUGCCUUAUGUUCUCCAUGCCCCACAACACACUUCCCUACUGCUCCCUGCUCCCUGACAAUCUUGGCAGCACCACUGUCCUCCCAGUUCCCCAAGUCAGAAACCAGAGUCACCCCAGGCUCCUGAUUACUCCCACAUGCCAGCCUCCGGCUCCCUUCCUUCAGCUGCUCUUCUCCCCUUCACUCCCAAGGUGGGGUCUCUUCUCGUCUGGAGACUGCAGGAGCUCCUCCUUGGCCCCCACUGCCCCACCCAGGUGCAGGCCUGAAGUCUCUAGUUCAACACCAACUCUAAUCCCGUUAAUCCCACACUUGAAACUUCACUGCCUACAGGAACAAGCCCAGGCCUCUCAGUGCAGCUCUCCUGAGCCUCAAGCCCAAUCCCCUCCUCCAGCAACACUUGCACUGUAUCAUCUCCAUUUGGUUUCUGAACCUAAUCUGGCUCUGGCCCCUAUGAACAUGGAGGUCCCCAUAUCCCACAGAAUAUGUCACCUUCUCCCAGGCAGAGUCCCCAUCUCCCACCUGUCUCUCUGUAGCUGUGCUGCCUGCACUGGGCUGGAAAUGUCCAUAUCCACCUCCUCCUGCCUCCACUGCAGUCCCUCACCGGCAGGCAGAGGUUCUAACUGCACAACCUCCCCAGAGGCCUCACUCAAUCUACCCACAGGACAGAGGGAGAGCACUGUGGCCACUCACCCUGCGG